UGUGAUGUCACGCAGAGCAAACUAGACUGAGAGACGAGCAGGCUGGGGUUGUGGUCAGGGUCCCGGCAGGAGAGAGCUGGCAUUUCAAGGGGUAACUGUAGGGAGUUUCAUGAACGAGGCGAGGGUACGCAGAGGCGCAGGCGCCUUAUGGAGCCAGCGAGGGAGGGGAAGGCUCUCGGGGUCUCACAGGAGCGUUUGCCCAGCGUUACCCGAAUGUCCCAGGUCUCCCCUUCCCUCCCUGCUGCAUUGGCAGCCCCCUCCUCCCUGGCUGUUGCUGGGAGAGCGUCUUGGGUUGUGCUCACUGGGAGAGGGUCUUUGGUCGUGCUCACAAACACACAAAGUCCAGCAAUUCCCAUGCAUUGAGGAUUGAGGUUGUUAUGGCCUCCGGCCUGUAGCUGAUCAGCAUGCCCCUCCUCGCUUUCUGCGGAGCACAUCCUACAAGUGACAGAGCAUGACUUUAAAACCGGAGCCUGCAGUGCCAUCUGGCACAACACCGUUCUGCUCAUGCACAGACCCAUUCCCAACUGCCUGUGGCUACCAUCGCUUCUAUUCAAAAGGUCUCUUUCCUGAACCAUCUGCUCCUCCCCCUGCAUUCGUCAGAAGAUGUUGCUCAAGGUAGAAACCACAGGGAAAGUCGUGGAGUUCUGUCCUCCCUCACUGGAGUCCCACCAGUGCUCCCUCACACCCCACACAUCAGUACCUCCUCUCCAGCCUCAACCCCUCUGCCUUCUUUCCAGCUGCCACCAUCCUCUUAGGCCCCUUGUCUUACCUGGCUCCCAUUUCAUCCGCUCAAGAACCAUCUGUGGCUGAUGUGGACUCGAGAACAGAGCCCAGAGCUUUCAAGCCUCCCCGACAUCUGAACCCCAGGACUAAUGAAAAAACGUAAUGUAAAUCAGCUUGGAUCCAGGACAGAUAAGCUGUAGAAACACUGUCUGCACUUCAGGAGCAUAUCUUCAUAAAGAUAUAUGGAAAUAUAGACAAAAUCGUAAAGAUAAACUUCAAAUGUUACUUCUACUAUGUGUUUUCUUAGUACGUUUAAACUGUUGUAAAUAAGAUAAAGACGAUUUAUUUGUGUUGAUGCAAAGAAUCCACAACCAACGUAUAAAUGAAAAUUGAGGUCAUUUUUACCAACAAAUUCACGCCAACAGAAUUAAAGUUCAUCCUGAUUACACGUCAGACUAAAGGAGUAAAGGAUUUCUUGGUAAUUUAUGCUGCCAUACCUUUUGAAACAUUAAGAAUUUUUGCCAAAGAAUUCUUAACUUUUUAUUCUGAAAGACUUUAAAAUUUAUAGAAGAAGCACAAGAAGCCUCGAAAGUAUCCCAUGUACCCUCAGCAAAUUCACUAACUGAAAACACUUCACCCCAUUUACUUAUUAUCUCUUUCGUGUGAUUUCUGAACCAUUUGAAAGUGAAUUGUUGACAUCAUACGCUUUACUCCUAAAUACUUCAGAGUAUGUUUCCUAACAACAACAUGAUUAUCAAAUUGAAGAAAUUUAAUACUGAUAUAUUAUUAUUGUCACAUUCAGAUUUCACCAAUUUUCCCAGUAAUACUUUUAUGGAAAACGUUCCCCCUGAUCCACAUUGCAUUUAGUUUUCAUGUCUAUUUUCUUUGUCUUGAAUGACAUUAUCAUUUUCCAAAAGUACAGGCCCG
ensembl:lncRNA